AAGGAUCAUUACCGAGAUUUCUUUUCUUUUUUUAAAUUAUAUUUUUCUUAAGAAAAAUCUCCCACCCUUUGUGUAUAUAUAAAAAAAUUUAUACUUUGGUGAAGCGUUUAUGAGAUAUUAGUUUGUAAUAUCAAGUAACCAGUGGCUUUUUUAAUUUUAAAAAGCGGCUGUGUCUUGGCCAAAGGAAAAAAACAUAACUCUUUUAUUUUACUUAUUGUCUGAGUUUAUAAAUUUUAAAUAAACAAAACUUUCAACAACGGAUCUCUUGGUUCUGGCAUCGAUGAAGAACGCAGCGAAAUGCGAUAAGUAAUGUGAAUUGCAGAAUUCAGCGAAUCAUCGAAUUUUUGAACGCACAUUGCGCCUCAGAGUAUUCUUUGAGGCAUACCUGUUCGAGCGUCGUUUAGACCAUAAAGCGAAAUACUAUUUAUAGUAGAAAUAUUAUAGAAAGUAAAGCUUUGCGUUGAUUUUUUUGGAUUUCCAUUUUGUGAAGUUCAAUAAUCUAAAGAUAUUGGCGUCGUAGUUUGACCAAGACACAGCAAAAUGUGAAACUGGAAAUUUGAACUAUUUGAUAUGCCUUGAACAAACAGUUUUUCGUAAGAGAAACGUAGGUUCGACCUCGGAUCAGGUAAGACUACCCGCUGAACUUAA
rnacentral:rRNA from 1 species